rnacentral:lncRNA from 1 species
UGUUGCAAAUGGCCAUGGUUUCCAUGAAGAGUGCACAGAUGGCUCCGUCCUCACAACUUCCUUAGAAAGAUGGAAAAUGGAACUUGUCUUGAUGACAGUGUCUGCUAGGUUCAUCAACUUCUGAAAUGUGGUGACAGAGCAUAGACUAUAACUCAUGGGUAAAAGGACAUUGCUUAGAAGCAAAUAGUAAUAUUUGUCAGGGAAGAUCUUGAAGAGUUCACUUAUUAAAACAUUGAGUUGACAUCUCUUAUUUUGAUCAAAAUAAAUGAAAAUGGGGUCAGCAUUGUAGUGUAUUCUACCUUUAAUUAGCUAAUUAAUUUUUGAGACAGGUUUGAGACCUACUCACUAGAAAGAUACAUGCAUAGA